rnacentral:rRNA from 1 species
AGAGUUUGAUCAUGGCUCAGGAUGAACGCUGGCGGCGUGCUUAACACAUGCAAGUCGAGCGAAGCACUUGAGGUUGAUUUCUUCGGAAUGAAAUCUCAUUUGACUGAGCGGCGGACGGGUGAGUAACGCGUGGGUGACCUGCCCCAUACCGG